rnacentral:rRNA from 1 species
CUUGCUAUGGUAUAACUUAGUGGCAGACGGGUGAGUAAUGUAUAGGAAUCUACCUAGUAGUACGGAAUAAUUGUUGGAAACGACAACUAAUACCGUAUACGCCCUACGGGGGAAAAAUUUAUUGCUAUUAGAUGAGCCUAUAUUAGAUUAGCUAGUUGGUAGAGUAAUAGCCUACCAAGGCAAUGAUCUAUAGCUGAUCUGAGAGGAUGAUCAGCCACACUGGAACUGAGAUACGGUCCAGACUCCUACGGGAGGCAGCAGUGGGGAAUAUUGGACAAUGGGCGAAAGCCUGAUCCAGCCAUGCCGCAUGAGUGAAGAAGGCCUUUGGGUUGUAAAGCUCUUUUAGUGAGGAAGAUAAUGACGGUACUCACAGAAGAAGUCCUGGCUAACUCCGUGCCAGCAGCCGCGGUAAUACGGGGAGGGCUAGCGUUAUUCGGAACUAUUGGGCGUAAAGGGCGCGUAGGCUGGUUAAUAAGUUAAAAGUGAAAUCCCGAGGCUUAACCUUGGAAUUGCUUUUAAAACUAUUAAUCUAGAGAUUGAAAGAGGAUAGAGGAAUUCCUGAUGUAGAGGUAAAAUUCGUAAAUAUUAGGAGGAACACCAGUGGCGAAGGCGUCUAUCUGGUUCAAAUCUGACGCUGAGGCGCGAAGGCGUGGGGAGCAAACAGGAUUAGAUACCCUGGUAGUCCACGCUGUAAACGAUGAAUGUUAAAUAUGGGAAGUUUACUUUCUGUAUUACAGCUAACGCGUUAAACAUUCCGCCUGGGGACUACGGUCGCAAGAUUAAAACUCAAAGGAAUUGACGGGG